CAGACAGUUUAACACACACACACACACACACACACACACACACACACACUGAGACCACAUCCACCAGUCUGCUCCUGGUCCUGGAUCUGGAGGAUUUUCUUUCUGUCACUUCAUCACACUUGUAAACUUCUUACCCUGACUCUGACACUGUGUUGUUUGAGAGCAUGAAGUAGCUCUAACAAAUCUUACACAGAGAGUGUGGAGCACAGGACCCUUUAUCAGAACUUCUGAAGUCCAACACCAUAACUUUUAUCAGUGUGCUGAUGUAAUGGUUAAAAAAAGUACUGUUAAAAAUACUAAAGUGCUUUUAAAACUUGUGUUAUUUUGCUAAGAAUAGUAAGCAAAAGAAUGCUUUAAUUCAUGAAAGUACAUGGUUAAAAACACAACAUCAUAAGUAAUUAUAAAGGUUAAAAAAAAGUGGAUUAAGACGAAAUUCAUUGUGAUCUGCUGAUCGAGUGAUCUGUUAUCUGUUACUCUGGUCUUCUAGACAAACAAGCAUAGAGUGAUAAGCUAAAAGGGAUAUCUGUGUUUAAAACAUAACUAAUUCCUUGUUAUUUUGGAAGAGCUCUCUGAUUACUGUUUUAUAUUGUUUCCUAAAGUGCUGCUUCUUCUAAGUUAUUUCUUGAAAGCUAAUCCUCAAAUCACCUCUGGUGUUCGGGUUUCGAUUGCUUGUGUCUGAGCCCAGACGGUAGAGGGGAAGACGGUGUUUUCACUCGUCCAUUACAACACUGGACGUGACGGAAGCAACGUCGUAUCCACGUUUCUCAUUUAUUACUCCUCUUUACAGACCGACACAUGAAAACCUCUUCAACAGCUGGAACCGGACCCGUCCCAAGGAGGUACUGGGUCAGCAGGACUUGGACUGGACUGACCUCUGAUCUCCAGCUGCUUGUCAGCACACAGAAGUGGACUCACUGACACAAAGGUCAAAGUUCACAGCUGACCACACAAAUCACUUUUAACAGAUACGAGGUCUUCAUGAGUCAGAGAGCAGCUCGGACACAGACCACAAGAGACUAAGAGAGUCCAGGAGGGUCCUAUAGAGUCCUAUAAAGUCCUAUAAAGCCUAAAAGAGUCCUCAAGGGUCUAGAAGAGUCCUCUAGGGUCUAGAAAAGUCCUCUAGGGUCUAGAAGAGUCCUCAAGGGUCUAGAAAAGUCCUCUAGGGUCUAGAAGAGUGCUAACAGGUGUAAGAGCUGUCCUACCAUCCACUGUUCAAUGUGACCCCACUUAUUAUCCAGACCAUAAUACUUCUGCAGGAGGAGGAGGAGACACGUUAGAACAGGAUGAAAACAUGACCAAAGAGAACAACAGGUGAGUUUGUUUUAAACUUCUUGGUGUGGCAGGUGGGUGGAGCUUAGCACGCAGCGGUAAGAUGACCAUUUCCUGUGGCCAUGAGCUCAGUGUGACUUCUGCGCGGUAAGCUCCACCCGGUCGGAGCUCCCAGAGGAGGAAAACAAACACAGCAGUGUAGAUUGAAGGUGGAGUGAGGAGUUAGUCGUACCUUGUGGCUGUGAAACAGCUACAGGAGGCGGGAGGAGAAACAAGAGGAGAGAUGGGACUUUAGAAACAAGAGGUCAGAGGUCAGAAUGAAACCACAGUAAACUGAAUGGAUGCUUCACAUAUCAGUUAGGAUCAAAGAAUCUAUCAGGACUGAAUGAGGAGGAAGAAGAACAGUGAAGUUAUUAAAUCACCGUCCUGAGGUGUGACCCAGACCUCAUCCGACCUCAUCAGACCUCAUCAGCAGUGAUCAACACAUCCACAGUUGUUGUUGUAUUGUUGGUCAUGAUGAAGACUCAUUAACAUGUUGUGGAGACAACAGAGAACGAUGAGACGAGGCAGGAUGUGUCUCUACACAGACUGCCUGCAGCUGGACUGUGUCCGAUAAUCAAUAAGACCAUUUGUGUCAACAGAGAAACAUUGUUCUGUCCAGCCGUCACCGCCAUCGUCUCACAGUCAUCUCAUUACUGCACAUUAUUGAUUGUUUAUAGACUAUUGAUCAGAUAAUAGUGAUCAGUCAUCAGAUCACUGUCAUAAGUUACAUCAGAGUCACAUGUUUAUAAAUCUGACAGAAAAAUCACAACCUUAACCCUAACCCACAUGAUAAUCAUCUGCCUGUUCUUCAACCAUCAGAACCAUCAGAGCCAUCAGAACCAUCAGAACCAUCAGAACCAUCAGAACCAUCAGCAUCUCUUCUCUUCUUUCAGUGAUCGUAUGACGUGUCAGAGCCCAUUAAACUGCUCCUCUGGUCUCAGAUUCAAACACGUCGUCUGUUUUACACCUCUGUAUCGAUUCACAGUUUUAAUAAUAACCAAUCAUAUCAAACUCUCUGCUGAGUUUAAACACAAAUACGAAUCAAAACCUUUAUUCUGUUAAACUUUGUCACAGCAGCUUAAAGAGUUAGUUGUCUGUGUUACAGCAACAGAAGUUUACUGAGAUUAAACUCAGCUGAUUAAACUCAGAGGUGAAGCUGCCCUGAUCACAGGCAUCGUCUGAUUUAUCUUAUUAACAUGUGACGUCAUAAUUAACAUGUGACGUCAUAAUUUAACACGUCGAUCAAUAACAUCAUCUGUCAUAUUGAUAUCAAUAAUGAAGUUACUUACCAGAGAGAGCUGAGGACCAACACCACCCAGACACCACCCAACCAUCUGACUGACCCGCUGAUGAUUAAAGCACAUUCACACUCUCAGUCUGACUUUUGACCUCUCAGGUGAACUCACCUGAAGCUCAUCAGGUUUAAAAGACCAAUCAGAGCUUUAGUUCCACAAACACAAACCAGAGAUCUAUUUAAAUAAAACAACAGCAUCAUGUGACUCCUCAUUUUCCCUCUGUGAAAUGUAAAGAGCCAAUCAUGAAGGCUGCUCAGCCCCGUGGACCAAUCAGGUGACAGGAUGUGAUGUGUGUUGAUUUCAGAAUAAAAGCCUCCAUACCUCUUUC